UACGAAGGGGGCGAGCGGUGUUCGGAAUCACUGGGCGUAAAGGGCGCGUAGGCGGCCCUCCUUGUCGCGUGUGAAAGCCCCGGGCUCAACCUGGGAACGGCGCGCGAGACGGGGGGGCUGGAGUUCGGGAGAGGAGCGUGGAAUUCCCAGUGUAGAGGUGAAAUUCGUAGAUAUUGGGAAGAACACCGGUGGCGAAGGCGGCGCUCUGGACCGAGACUGACGCUGAGGCGCGAAAGCGUGGGGAGCAAACAGG
rnacentral:rRNA from 1 species